UACAGAGGGUGCGAGCGUUGUCCGGAAUCACUGGGCGUAAAGGGCGCGUAGGUGGUGGCUUAAGCGUGCGGUGAAAGCUCGGGGCUCAACUCCGAGUCGGCCGUGCGAACUGGGCUCACUGGAGCAUAGUAGAGGCAGGUGGAAUUCCGGGUGUAGCGGUGGAAUGCGCAGAUAUCAGGAGGAACACCGAUGGCGAAGGCAGAUCUCUGGGCCGUAACUGACGCUGAGGAGCGAAAGCAUGGGGAGCGAACAGG
rnacentral:rRNA from 1 species